GAGUUCAGGAGCACGGUACCAUCGUGUUGCCACAUAAUCCUUGACAAAUAAAGUAUUAGUCAGUAUAUCCAGGGAACGUGUAGAAUAUUUUAAUUGUAAACUCGUCAAAUUAGAAUCCUCCACAGAUUUCAUUUUCUUUCUUUGAUCCUAAAAAAUAGUAGGCAUAAAUAAUACCAAACUGAAAUAUACAACAGUGUGCUUCAAGAAUGUUAAAAUUAUGACUCAAAAUCGUAAUGAGAUUUGAAAAAACCAUUGUAAAGGGACUUUGACGACUGCUGAGGAUUUGGCUCAUCCAGUGAUGAGACAGACUUGGCCGCAGUGGAGAGAGACUUGGCCUAAGGUAGAGUAAGAACAUAGAAUUCAAGAGGAGGAAGGAAUUUUUGUUCAUUUGUGCGAGAGCUUUUGCUUAUGUCUAGAAGAGACUGAGAGGAACUAACUAAUAUUAGCUUGUAAUGAUGAUUUAUUAUUGAUGAUAGUAGAAGAUAUGCCCGUGGAACCAUAUAAAUAUUGGUGUUUUAUUUGUUUACUUUAAUUUUUUAUAGUUUACACGCUUCCGUAGUGCACAACACUAUGUUUUCCAUUUGCUGAGCUCAUGGUUGUUACGGUUAGUAGGGUUUUUUUUUCCAAAAAAAAAAAUGUUUUGAAGGGUAGUUUUAGCUGGUGUAAUGAUCUUCUAAUGCAAAUGCUUUAAUAUUUUCAGGCUUAAUAUCUUCCUUGCGGGAAUGCAUACUAAGCCUUUCUUCUUCUGAUCAGUGAAAACAGGCCCUAGUUUUGCUGAUGCAGCUGUGGGAAGAAUUGCUCAACAAACAAAAGUUCUUGCAGAAGGAGGUUAUGAGAAAAUCUUUCGACAAACUUUCGAUACUGUUCCCGAGGAACAACUUCAGAAGACAUAUGCAUGCUACCUAUCAACAUAUGCUGGUCCAGUCAUGGGAGUUUUAUAUUUAUCAACUGCAAAACUUGCAUUUUGUAGUGACAAUCCUUUGUCUUAUCAAGUUGGUGAGGAAACUCAAUGGAGCUAUUACAAGGUAUGCAUAUCAUGCUUUCUCAACGUUUUUAAACAGCUUCACAAUAUUUUUAAUUUCCAGGAGCCAGCAACACAUAGUCUGAUGAUGGCAUGGAGUUUGUAUCGACCUUUUCACUUUUUUGUUCUUUUUGGCGUCAAUGUGGAUUGUGGUGGUCAUUUGGGUUAUUGUUCUGAACUUUUUUUUUUCAAAUCUCGAUAACUGCUGUGAUUAUGGUCUUUGUUCUAAGACACAUUUAUUUCUUUGGCAGUGAGAUGCACAAAAUUGUAUGGAUGGAAAUCCUGUUUCCAGUAUUCAAAAAAAAAAUUUUACCCAUUGGUAUACAGCAUUAAGCAUUUGAUUGUUGAUGCAUCUAAGUUGAACCUUCUAGUUCACAAUCCCUUGGACUAUUUUGUUCCAACAAGAUCAUUAGUGGAUGGGAUUUCAUUUAAAUUUCGCUUAGUAGGUAUAGUCAUGACUCAAGCCACAAGUUCCAUAAUCAGCUGAGGUAGUUUUGUUAAUAAAUCAUACUUACCUAGCUGAAAAUUUAGAAAUUUUCUGUUGCAAACAAUUAUCCCCCAAGUUGCUAAAGUCCCUUGUCGCAAAUCCCAACAGAUAAUUGCUGGUGUUAUAGAUAAUUCAAUUUCCUUGUAUAAUGUGGACCCUCAUUUUCUCCUUGGGGAUUGGAACGGGCUUGAUUGAUCUUGCUCAAAUUCUAUUAUUAAUGGAGGCCACCAUAAAUGACUUGCAUGAGCAGGGAACUCUUAUAGGAAGCAACUAUAGUUACUGAUAUAAGGAGGUGGGCUAGUGUGUGUGUUAUGUGUUUGAAGUAAACAAUGAAUGCCUUGGUUUGGUUUUCAUGUGAUAUUCUCUUGGAAUGAAGUAUUUAUUUAUUUAUAUGUAUCAUGUUGCUUACAAUGUUUUGGGCAUCGCACUUUCCUUCUCCAUAUGCAUAGGUUGUCCUUCCAUUACACCAACUGAGGGCUGUCAACCCUUCAACAAGCAAGGCGAAACCUGGAGAAAAAUACAUCCAGAUUAUCUCAGUAGACAAUCAUGAAUUUUGGUUCAUGGGUUUCGUACACUACGACAGUGCUGUGAAAAAUCUUCAAGGGGCAUUGACGCAUGGCAGCUUGUGAUGCGUCAGUAGCCAAAUUUCCAGUCCUAUCGAAAUGAAGCGUCUGAUACUGCUAGUUGGUGUAGAUAAAAGUAUUCAACAUGUAGAUGGAUGUUUCAUUUGUUUAUAGUGUUGUGUGGUAUUCGUUUGUGAUUCAAACUCAUUGAAGUUUAUGUUAUGAUGCUUAUGUAGUCAUCCUUAGAACUUGAUUUAUAAGAGAGCAGUUGAGAUAUCAUAUCCUUUAUUCUCAUAAUUAAAUUAAUUAAUUUUGUUUCUGGUUGAG
rnacentral:misc_RNA from 1 species